rnacentral:tRNA from 2 species
ACAAGAUGUAGCUUAAUAAAAGCCUCUCGCUUACACCGAGAAAAUGUCCGUUUAAUCCGGAUCAUCUUGA